AUUUAAAUAGCUUAAAUUUAGAGUUUAAUAUUGAAGAUAUUAAGGUGAUUUUUUAAUCUUUAAAUA
rnacentral:tRNA from 1 species